AGUUUGAUCCUGGCUCAGGAUGAACGCUGGCGGCGUGCUUAACACAUGCAAGUCGAACGGGCUCAUAUUGAAACCUAGUGAUUUAUGAGUUAGUGGCGGACGGGUGAGUAACGCGUGGAAAACCUGCCGUAUACUGGGGGAUAACACUUAGAAAUAGGUGCUAAUACCGCAUAAGCGCACAGCUUCGCAUGAAGUGGUGUGAAAAACUCUGGUGGUAUACGAUGGUUCCGCGUCUGAUUAGCUUGUUGGUGGGGUAAUGGCUCACCAAGGCGACGAUCAGUAGCCGGCCUGAGAGGGUGAACGGCCACAUUGGGACUGAGACACGGCCCAAACUCCUACGGGGGGCAGCAGUGGGGAAUAUUGCACAAUGGGGGAAACCCUGAUGCAGCGACGCCGCGUGAGUGAAGAAGUAUUUCGGUAUGUAAAGCUCUAUCAGCAGGGAAGAAAUAGCGACCUUUGGGUCGCCAGACGGUACCUGAUUAAGAAGCCCCGGCUAACUACGUG
rnacentral:rRNA from 1 species